GUAAGAAAACGGGUCGAGAGGCGAGCCGCCGGGUUCACCUAGUAGACGAUACUAGGAACGGCUGGAACGCCCACUCCAAAUCGCCGGGAAGAGGCCUCCGGUAGCGGCGGGAAAGGCGUCACAGUAUGGAUAGCGGCGGCGAGUUUAAAUACUCUUGCAAGACAGCGAGUGAAACACUUGAAUGGAUUCGUGCAAUCGUAAACUUCCUCAAGCCUUAUCGAUUCUUCUUAGAUGCUCACGUCGUCAAUUUCUUCAAGGAGAGGCUAUGGGUAGCUGUUGAUAGAGAGUGGAUGGAUUGUCUGCGAAAAGAGCCUGUAGAUGAUCUUCUACGGAUUCCUUCUGGUGUAAUCCAGGAUCAUUGGCCUGCUUCACUUAAAGAAUUUGUCCUCACGUUGAGGUCCCUUUCUCUUCCUCGUGAGCAAGCAGAUCUGCAGAAGGUUUUCCCGGGUCUUCAAGUGGCAUCGCUGAAUAAUGUUCUUUCUCAAGGCAUGAAUCAUAAGAAAAAGCACGAAAUUGAAGCCCUUUCUGCUGUUAUCAGCUCUAUUGCUAGUAGAGUUGGAGCCAACACGAUAGUGGAUGUUGGAUCUGGUCAGGUGCGAUACCUCGUGAUUUUUUUGCUGGGGUACCUCGCUCAAGUUCUUUCAUUUGAAUACCAGCUUUCUGUGAUAGCAAUAGAUGCCUCUUCUCAUCAUGGAAGGAUUACUGAUGCACGUGCUGAACGAAUUAAGAAACAUUAUAUGGCCAAGCUUCGUAGAUCUCAAUUAGAAAGUAGAGGUUUGAGCACGCCUAAGACAGUCACAUGCCGAGUGUUGUCCUCUGACACGUUGAAAGCCUUGGGCAGUUCCUUAUUACAAAAAGAUGAUGAGAAGCCUAAUAAUAAUGGAGUGAAUAUUGAUGAAAAGCCUCUUGAAGGAUCCGUUGGAAAUGAACUUACCUCUUCCUUGUAUGCAAAUGGCAAGCCCUUGUUAGUUCUCGCUGGACUCCAUGCCUGUGGAGAUCUUUCGGUGACAAUGCUGAGGACAUUUAUAGAAUGCACUGAUGUUAGAGCAGUGGUUAGCAUCGGUUGUUGUUACAAUUUGCUAUCAGAGGGCAUCGUAGAAGCUGAUACUCAAUGCGGUUUCCCAAUGAGUAAAGGAGUUAAAUCUGCUGGUCUAUUGCUUAAGAAAAAUGCCCGAGAUCUUGCUUGUCAGAGUGCAGAGAGAUGGAGAGGUUUGGGAGAAGCUGCUUGCCUUCAUAAUUUUGAGCUUCAUGCUUUUCGUGCUGCCUUUCAGAUGGUUCUUUUUCAACAUUAUCCAGAAAUAAUAAUAAAAAGCCCUUCAAUAGGGCGUCAAGGAAAGGCUUUACGUCGCCGACAUCACCGUAGGACCCUAGUGUCUGGUGCAGAUAUUGCUGAAUCCUUGUCUCAGAAGAAUUGUGAGAACGAAACAAGUUGGCCUGCCAUUUCUUGUACAGAAAGUGCAGACGCAGAAGAAGGUUCAACCUGUAAUGAUGCUGCCUCAAUUUAUGAGGAUUCUUCUCAUUGUAUUUCUAGAAAUUGUGACACCAAUCUUACUGACAGAUAUUCAAUGUUCGUGAACUUCUGCCGUUCUGGACUACAUCGGCUUGGUCUCCAUAAUUCACAGGAUAUCAAUUUUUCUGGGUUAUGGAAGCAAGCUGAACCAUUUGCUGAACUGAUUGGGCCUUAUUGGACACUUCGGGCUGCUCUAGGACCCGUUUUGGAAACUCUUCUUCUUCUUGAUAGAUUGCUGUUUCUUCAGGAGUCCAGCAAUAUGGUGGAGGCAGUUAUAUUACCCAUUUUUGAUCCAGUAUUAUCUCCAAGAAAUGUGGCUUUAAUAGCGAAGAAACUGUGAAAAAAAUGUCCACAUUCCUGUACGUUGCAAGUGGUGUAGAUUUCACAUUUUCACCGAGAUUGUAAUUUGUGAUAUUGUGAGGAAGCUGUGAGAGGCUUUGGCCCUGCCUAGCUAAGGAUGGAGAAUAGAUAGCAAAAUCAUAGAUUGUUGCUUGAAUGAAGGAGCAGUAAGAACUCCGCUGUGAAGGUGAAGGCUUGGGAAUGGGUCGAGACCAAUGGUUUUAAUGUUUCUGGACUGUACGGUACAUCACAAUUUAAUAUAGGCAAUAUAAAACACAUCCAUGACAAAAUAACACAGAUAAUUACGUACAUAUAUUGUUUGAGAAUUCAAGAAAUAUAUUGAUUACAUGACAAUAGUUUACUGAGACAGAGCACUUGUGCUGU